AAGCCCAAGCGCUGUGUUAGGCGCUCCAGCUGAGACCAGACCUAAUUAAUGCAAGGAAAGGCUGCUGUAUGCACAGCUAUCUAGGUGGCUCUGCCUUUUCAUCUUUGGACUUUGUCCUAAUCAGAGCGGAUGCCGCUUUUUGAUCAGGUUAUUUGAGGGGCUGUGAGAGUGUCUUCCUUCCCCUUUAUCCUCUUUCAAUCCAUAUCUAUGGCAAACAUUAGACUGUUUCUACUGACAACAGGCAUUUUUGCUUACUAUUGACAGAUUAAUUCUAUUAAUGGCUUAAAAUCCUGCUGUGGUUCUC